UUACUGACUUCAAGCUUAUCAUGAAAAUAAAGCUUCAUUUUUGCAAGAUUAACAUUUUAUUAGCUAUAGCUAUAAGACAUAUAACACCAUUACCUACAAAAUUCUAAAGAUAUGACCUGCAUAGAGAGCCAUGGAAUGUCACAUGGUAACUAUGAGCAGGCUACAUAUUUUCCUCCAAUAGAAAACUCUGAAAAAGAAUAGUAGUGAAGGAAGUCAUAAAGGAAUUGUAUAAUAGGAAGAUAAGACAGGUUGGUCAUUUGACAAGGUUAAGAUAUGACAAGUGGACAACCAAACCAUUCUAUGAUUAUCUUGUAAUGUUGGGAGAAAGUGGGAAUGGCAUCCAGCACAUUGGAUGUAUCCCUUAUGGUAAACUUUUGGAAGAAUACAAAUAAAGACUCACACCAGUUGAGAAGAGCAAGAUUCAAAUGAAUGAAAUAAUGGAGAAGUGAAUAUUUGGAUACAAAGCUCAUACAAACAGAAUAUUUGUCACAUCCCCAGAGAAAAAGAGGAUACUUGUGGUCCCAGGCUUUCUUCAGAGAGAGGUCCUGAAGGAAGAGAAGGACUUUGAGAAGAAAGAGAAGCUGGUAAGGAAAAUGAAGUGCAGAGAUUCUGGGUAACAUGACAGAAUGUGGACUCAAAUUCAGAUCCUUCAACCAAGAGAUCAGUGUUCUUUUCAGAAAAUUUCCAGUAGAGAGUUACUAGCAAAGUACUGCUUUGGGUAAUAAAAAUGUUACUAUAUGUCUCUAGUACUCUCCACUGCCUCUGCCUGGUUCUUCCUGUAUACUUUUCUUACUGCCCCAAUUUUCUCCUUUUUGUGAGGGGAACUUGGUAAUCCCUUACAUCUCUGCAUGUUUUGCAUUUUGUAGCUGUGGUCUUUAAGUUUGAGCUUUAAUUUCUCUCCUUUGCUCCAUUAAUAAUUUUCCUGAUGCAAAAGUGUUAUA